rnacentral:tRNA from 1 species
GCCCGGGUGGCUCAGUGGGUUGAGCGUCCGACUUCGGCUCAGGUCAUGAUCUCACGGUCUGUGGGUUCGAGCCCCCCGUUGGGCU